CUCGGACUUCUGACUUCCGAGGUAACUCGAACGCAGCAUUUUUAGGCAUAUCCAGGCCAGAGCGUUUUUUCUAUAAAUAACUUUAUUUACAACUAAUUCAACGUCGUACUGAAAUACGAACAUCGGGUGUUGAGGAAGGAAUAUCAAAUAAAAAAACGAAGAAGAUAUAGUAAAAAAUGAUAUAAAUAGAUAAAUAAGAAGAGUUUUCUGCGUCAUAUGGAAGCUACAUACUGGUUCACCUGCCUUAAUUCAACAAACGAGGACUGUGGUCGAGAUCGGCAUUUCCUCCUCAUAUUGUGGAGUGACUCUCGCUGAAUGUGUCUGCCCCAAGAAUUAUAUACAAAAACUUAAUCGUCAUUUACCGGUAUGUCUGGGGCCAGGGCUUCAUCUCAUUCAUCCCUGUUUUUCUGUAUAAAACCAACACUGCUGCAAGACGCCUGUCCCUGUCCUGAGAGGUGAACAGAUGAAAGACCAGGUAAUAGACCACUGUUUCUCUUUCUACCAUUAAUGACUUCUUGUUUUCCUCUUUAGUCUCCUAUGUUGCUGUGCUUGAACAUGUCCUAUUUAACUCAAAACGUAAACACAUUUUAAGUCCGGAGUAAAAUAGAGGGCUUGAUGGCACUGUUAUCAUCCCUGCUGAUAGGGCCCAGGUUGGUGCAAAUUGUGCGCUCAGUGCAAAUGAUUUCAAAAGAACUAGCCUACUAUAUUAAUGUUAUCAAUAAAAGCAACUGCAGUACAGAAAUAUUUAACAGAAACAACCAAACAUUUGUUGAAAUAAUGUUUUAAUUUGCAUUCACUUUAUUAAUACACUAAUAAAACACAAAACAAUACCAGAAUAAUUGCCUCAGCACAAGCAGUCCUUCUUUGCUCAUGAGGAUAAUUAACUGAAAAGUGUUAAACCAAUUAAAAACAUUACCACAACAGUAUUAAAAUCAUAUAGAGUGGAGUAAAAAAUACAUAAAAAAUAAAAAUCAUUAAGCAUCAGACUCCAACUGUAGCUGAAUACUUUUGUUCAACUUUAGUGUCACAAUUAGAGCGUAGAAAUCCACUUAUUCAAAAUUUGAUGAUUUACCUUAUGACCCCCUACGUUUUCAGAUGGGAUGGUCAACAGGCACAAGGUUUGGCAGGGACAGGGGUACUUGUAUGGGAUUGUGCAGCUUGCCUCGACCACAGGACAGCCUCCAGAAGCCAGCUUUUUUUUCUCUCUCUGCUUUGCCGGCCUGUCUGUCACUCUGUUUCUCCCAGGCUCAGAGGCUCACUUUAUUGUCUCUGUCAGUUGUGAGCCGGCGGUUUGCCUCCACUCACUGUCACCCCUCUGUCAGGCCCUGACCGAUAAAGCUAGCACCAGCGCCAAUCUCCCUUCUUCAGCUCCGUUGGCUGUUCCUGGACUCCAUUCCACCACUAAUUAGCUCUUCAGAGAUUUCUCUUCGUGGAAGCAGGGGGUUGUGGGGUGGGGUUGGUGGGGGUGUUAAGGGGGAGCUUGAAGGGCGAGGAGGGGCAAAGAGAGGGGAGGACUGGAUGUGUGUGGAGGAGUGGGUCUUUAGAUUAGAUAGAUAGAUAGAUAGAUAGAUAGAUAGAUAGAUAGAUAGAUAGAUAGAUAGAUAGAUAGAUAGAUAGAUAGAUGCAAAAUGUCUUCAGGCUCUGGUCAAAUACCCAAUGAGGGGCAGCGUUGUCUUGACUAAUGUCCCGCCUCCGCCUGGGCCAACAUGACCACUGCAGGUCUUCAGGUGAUUAACAUGUUGGCAGGGGCUCCUACAUGAAGAGACCCCUGUUUCUUUGUCUUCUGGUGUGUAAAUAUUGUGCUAGCGGAAUAUGAAAGUAGUGCAACUAUAAGGUACAAAAACAUAGGGAAAAAGAUCAAGAGUGGGUCUCACAUCAAGGAGGACCCCGAGGAUGUCUUUGUUGUCAACUUCAGAAGGGGGAAGAGAGGAGCAGAGGAGGAAACUGGCAGAAGGGGGAAAGAUGCCAGAGAGAGCUCAAAGGAUUCGGUCUGGGCAAGGUGAUCGGUAUUCCUCGGCAGUCUGCCUUCUGGCUCAGAUCAGUGAGAGUAAGCUGGCAGCCAAGCCAGAGGGCAUAACAGCACAAACACACCUUCAGCACUACACUGCUAGAGGCUUGGCUUCACAAUCUGGAGGGGCGGGAGUUGGAGGGAGACACAGAGGGAAGAGCAGGGAGAAAAUAAAUACACUGUAAUUAUCUUCAAAUCAUCAACCCCUGACAUCCAUUGUAAAUAUGUGUGUGUGGAAAAAAAGCCAUAAUCCCUCGCUAACAGUGUGUCAAGAUAAUUAAUCAGGCGAGAUCCAGCCAUGGGUUAUACAGUAUGUGCUAAAGGUACAAAGGUCAGCAGUCAGGCAGGCUCAUCCUGAGGCCAGCAGUGCUGUUUCUACUCUCGUCAUCACCUCUUCUUUCUCUCUUGGACAGGAUCCAAAAUCCAACAACCUGUGAGCAGAGAGAGUGCCCCCCCUUCUUCCUCUGCAAGGACUUCCCACCGUCAUGCUGGGACACAAGCCUGACACACGCCUUGCAUUCAACACCUACAUGGCCCUCACUGAUGUUCUGUUACAGCUCCGACUAAAGGUCUAACCAGGUACCUGAUGGGUGGGCAGAACCAGGCGAGGCACACUAAAUUAAGAGCUCACGCACACACACAUACACAAAAGUGUUGUGACAGGUAGCAGAUGUCCUGGCAAAGGCCGACUACCUCCCUGGACAACCAUGGACGACACACAUGCUUGCACAUGGACAGACACAUGCAGCAUUUGGCCAUGAUGUGGCAUCCAUGCUGUGCGUGUCCAAAAGCACCUGAAGUCUGAGCAAGUGGAUCGUCCGUUCUUCUAUCAUGCUAAUGCCCUGUUACAAACAUUUAACUUCUUAAUCAAACAAAAUAAAUAGAUUUUUUUAUCUAAGGUUUUGACCACAUCAAAAUAUGAAAUUUUAAAACAAUACUCCCUCACAAGUCAGUUAUGAUUUAAGAUUUCUUGACAUCUUCAAUAAUUCUAGGACAAAAACAGGAUAAUAGGGCAUUAUCUUGGCAAUCCAAAAAUGAUGCUACCAUCUUGACAGAGCAGCCAAAUUAUUAAGUUUACUCUUGAACUGUUGCAGACACACUUUUAUAAGUUUUAUAACUAACUUUUAAUGUUUUACUCUCAAAUCUGAUCUAACUUUCUUCACAAAUGCAAUAAUUCAAGCUAUUUCGGUCUGGCACAUCGCUAUAAGUUCUGUACCUGCAAGCAUGUCUCUUUUUUUAUUUAUACUGUCGGGUUUUUCCACAAACAAAAAAGCAGGCGUACAAAAAAAAACUUGGCUCGAGUCAGUGUUCAGUUUUAGAACUUUCUCCAAAUGUCUUUCACAAUUUAUCUCAAAUAUAAUUUCACCCUCAUAAAAAGUUAGACCUUGAGUUGACGAGCAGGGAAACUAAUUUGAGAUUUGAAUUCAUUUUUGAUGUGCUAAAUCCAAUACAGCCUUAAUGAUGAAUAAUCUUCAUUAUUAUUCUAUAUCCCAGAUAAUGUAGUGUUGUAAUUGAUCAAUAUGACACCGUAUUGAACUCUGACUAACGUCUGUGGAGAUUUUCAAGAACAUCACUCUUCAAGGCUGCAGUGGAGUAAGAACCGGAUCCAAAGUUGUCUCAAAUUGCAAUUCAGCUCAUGCUCUUCAUCCUCAUGAACAGAUCAUAACCGAGGUUCCUCCAUCAGAUGGAAAGGGCGGAAAAAAAGUCCUCGCUGUUUUAGGCUUUAAAGUGGAAUCUUAAUGUGUGUUUUUCCUCUUCUGAACAAGCCUUAUAUUUCCUCCUGCACAAGGUCAACACACUCACAUGGCCAGAGAUAGAAUUAAAUAAAUAACUGCAAGAAACAAUUAGCAAUGCAUCAAUAGUUGGAUCAAUAGUGAUGUUGGUAAUUAUCACUUUUGGGAUAGGGGAGAUGCUCUUUCCUUAUUGAUGCUCUCUAAUUCACGGGGAUAACCUCAGGGCCUGCAGAAUAAAUCAAAACACAUCAAGGUAAACCACAUUCCCUGCUCCUUUAUGACAGAUGUGAAUAAAUAUCGCCCCCUUAACUUUAAAUAUUAAAUCCUAGACCUAGCC